UAGCCUAGUGGUUAAGGCUGUGGAUCGCCAAUCCGGAGACGGCGGGAUCGAUUCCCGU
rfam:Aedes albopictus isolate Foshan contig17399, whole genome shotgun sequence.